rnacentral:rRNA from 1 species
GACGAACGCUGGCGGCGUGCUUAACACAUGCAAGUCGAACGGAAAGGCCCAGCUUGCUGGGUACUCGAGUGGCGAACGGGUGAGUAACACGUGGGUGAUCUGCCCUGCACUCUGGGAUAAGCCUGGGAAACUGGGUCUAAUACCGGAUAUGACCGACUGUCGCAUGGUGGUUGGUGGAAAGCUUUUGCGGUGUGGGAUGGGCCCGCGGCCUAUCAGCUUGUUGGUGGGGUAAUGGCCUACCAAGGCGACGACGGGUAGCCGACCUGAGAGGGUGAUCGGCCACACUGGGACUGAGACACGGCCCAGACUCCUACGGGAGGCAGCAGUGGGGAAUAUUGCACAAUGGGCGCAAGCCUGAUGCAGCGACGCCGCGUGAGGGAUGACGGCCCUCGGGUUGUAAACCUCUUUCACCAGGGACGAAGCGUGAGUGACGGUACCUGGAGAAGAAGCACCGGCCAACUACGUG